AUGGCAGCCACGCCGCCCAAGAGGGAGCCGCUGGCCCCCCUCAGCUGCAACGCGGCCGCAAACACGCCUGCGGCCGCCACGCGGCCACGCGCGCCGGCGGUCUCUGCCGAGAAGGAGAACCUGGGCGCGGCCAAUCUCGGCCCCGGCAAGGAGGAAAAGAGGGCGACGGCGCCUGCUGCCGCGAAGGCGGCGCCGCUGAAGCCGUCGUCGCUGCAGGCCCGCAUGGAGGGCGAGGAGGCGGCGGGGCUGCCCGUGUUCGUCGGGCCGAGGGGGAGGGAGCUGCUGCCGCCGGCGCCGCCGGCGCCGGCGUCGUCGUCCUACGAGGCGUGGGACCUCUCCGACAACGAGGCGGCGCCGGCCGCGUCCUGGGCCACCCUGCCCAACAGGGCGCUGCUGUGCCGCCCGCUGCCGCUCGACGUCGGGAGGUGCACCUGCGUCGUCGUCAGGGAGAAGGCCACUGGUGCCAGAGGCGUGGCGCUCUACUCGCUCUACACCAACGAGGGGCAGGGGCGGCAGGACCGGAAGCUGGCGGUGGCCCGGCACCGGAGGAGGAGAGGGAGGUCGGAGUUCAUCGUGGCGCAGAACCAGGACGGCGUCUUCUGCAGCUCCGACAAGAACUUCCUCGGGACUAUGGGUGCCAAUCUUGUUGGAUCCAAGUACCAGAUUUGGGGACAGGGGAACCGGGUCGAUGAGCUGAAGAGCCAAUCCAAGCGGCUUCUCGGCGUUAUCGCAUUUGCCCCUACUAUUACUACGCUCACGGGGAGUUUCAGAAGCAUGAGGGCAUGGAUCCCCAAGAACCAGUCCAUGCAGUUGAGGACCAACAGUUCUGCUCAGAUUCAGCAUGUCAGUGGGCUUCCAAAGGAUUGGCAGGAGAAGAGGAACAGAGCUGAACAACUCUGCUCAAGAUCACCUUUCUACAACAAUAUGACGAAGCGCUACGAACUAGAUUUCAGAGAGAGGGUUGGGAGGAUGGGAUACAAGGUGCAGACAUCAGUGAAGAACUUUCAGAUGACUUUGGAGGUAAAAUUUCUGCUCCAGCUUUCAAUGGGGUUAGAUCAGACUGAGCAACAUAUCAUGAUAUCGACAACUUGUGCUCGACAGGAAAAUGGGAGGCAGACGAUCUUGCAGCUUGGUAGGGUCGGGAAGUCCAAGUACAUAAUGGAUUUCAGGUAA
rnacentral:rRNA from 1 species